rnacentral:rRNA from 1 species
GACGAACGCUGGCGGCGUGCUUAACACAUGCAAGUCGAACGGAAAGGCCCUGCUUUUGUGGGGUGCUCGAGUGGCGAACGGGUGAGUAACACGUGAGUAACCUGCCCUUGACUUUGGGAUAACUUCAGGAAACUGGGGCUAAUACCGGAUAGGAGCUCCUGCUGCAUGGUGGGGGUGGGAAAGUUCGGCGGUUGGGGAUGGACUCGCGGCUUAUCAGCUUGUUGGUGGGGGAGUGGCUUACCAAGGCUUUGACGGGUAGCCGGCCUGAGAGGGUGACCGGCCACAUUGGGACUGAGAUACGGCCCAGACUCCUACGGGAGGCAGCAGUGGGGAAUAUUGCACAAUGGGCGGAAGCCUGAUGCAGCAACGCCGCGUGCGGGAUGACGGCCUUCGGGUUGUAAACCGCUUUCGCCUGUGACGAAGCGUGAGUGACGGUAAUGGGUAAAGAAGCACCGGCUAACUACGUG